rnacentral:rRNA from 1 species
AGCCUGAACGCUGGCGGCGUGGCUAAGACAUGCAAGUCGUACGGGCGUAGCAAUACGUCAGUGGCGAACGGGUGAGUAAAGUAUCGCUAACGUACCCCUCAGUCUGGGAUAGCCGGGGGAAACUCCGGGUAAUACCAGGUGACAUUCUCUGCCUGCAUGGGCGGAGACUCAAAGGGAAACCGUUGAGGGAGCGGGCGAUAUCGUAUCAGCUAGUUGGUGAGGUAACGGCUCACCAAGGCGACGACGCGUAGCCGGGCUGAGAGGUCGGCCGGCCACAUUGGGACUGAGACACUGCCCAGACUCCUACGGGGGCUGCAGUAACGAAUCUUCCGCAAUGCACGCAAGUGUGACGGAGCGACGCCGCGUGUGGGACGAAGUCCUUCGGGAUGUAACCACUGUCAGGGUAAGAAAGUUCUGAUCUACCCAGACGGAAGGCACGGCUAACUCUGUGCCAGCACGCCGC